rnacentral:piRNA from 1 species
UGUGAAUGGAGUCUCAUUAUCCACACAC